GCGAUUCCCUGACUGCGCGGACAAGCUCCCGCCGUACCAUCUGCAUGGAGAUGAGACACAUGCCCACCAGCAUCUCCUAACUAGGAUUAAUGAGGUGGCCGGCUCUGCGCCCGUCCAAAGGAGAUGUCAAUGGAGUUUAAUGUCGGAUGGACUGAGAUACAAUUCUGGACAGAGAGGCUGCGCCUAUGUGGGGCUGUUUUAGGAAUGAAAGAAGAAGAUGACAGCUCCGAAGUUGUGUGGAGGCCGGGAGCCAAUCUCUGAGACUCUUGCUUCUUCCUCUUCACUGAACAUAUCUCGCUGAUUGGUUGGGAUCUGAUAGCUGGGACCCCUAUGGAUCACAAUAACUGAAGACGAUAGUACCCCGAGUGAACUAAGUGGAAUUCCAAAUAUUGCCGAAAAUAGCACUUGGUUCGUCCCAUGGAGAAUUGAUGAAAAAUAUAAAAUUCUUCCCUUGGGUGGUUGUUUUUAUUUUUAUUUUUUCAGUAACUUUAGUAUGUGUAAC